UUUUAAUAAUAGCCGAAUCCUGCUUUUCUACAUCGGAAACAGGUACGGGGGACGAUAUACUUGGGGUGAAUUUGCGACAUUUGUGCAUUAGGGAAUUCCUCUUCCCGAACCCGUCAACUAACCCCGGAGGCUACGUAUAGGAGGUAA
rnacentral:sRNA from 2 species